GCGUUGUCCGGACUCAUUGGGCGUCAAGAGCGUGUAGGCGGUCCUGUAAGUCCGCUGUGAAAGUCAAGGGCUCAACCCUUGAAUGCCGGUGGAUACGGCAGGACUAGAGUCCGGAAGAGGCGAGUGGAAUUCCUGGUGUAGCGGUGAAAUGCGCAGAUAUCAGGAGGAACACCGAUGGCGAAGGCAGCUCGCUGGGACGGUACUGACGCUGAGACGCGAAAGCGUGGGGAGCAAACAGG
rnacentral:rRNA from 1 species